UUGGUGCUUGCAUCAUGAUUUACAUUUGAGUGAGUGGCGAACUGGUGAGUAACACGUGGGAAACCUGCCCAGAAGCGGGGGAUAACACCUGGAAACAGAUGCUAAUACCGCAUAACAACUUGGACCGCAUGGUCCGAGCUUGAAAGAUGGCUUCGGCUAUCACUUUUGGAUGGUCCCGCGGCGUAUUAGCUAGAUGGUGGGGUAACGGCUCACCAUGGCAAUGAUACGUAGCCGACCUGAGAGGGUAAUCGGCCACAUUGGGACUGAGACACGGCCCAAACUCCUACGGGAGGCAGCAGUAGGGAAUCUUCCACAAUGGACGAAAGUCUGAUGGAGCAACGCCGCGUGAGUGAAGAAGGGUUUCGGCUCGUAAAACUCUGUUGUUAAAGAAGAACAUAUCUGAGAGUAACUGUUCAGGUAUUGACGGUAUUUAACCAGAAAGCCACGGCUAACUACGUGCCAGCAGCCGCGGUAAUACGUAGGUGGCAAGCGUUGUCCGGAUUUAUUGGGCGUAAAGCGAGCGCAGGCGGUUUUUUAAGUCUGAUGUGAAAGCCUUCGGCUCAACCGAAGAAGUGCAUCGGAAACUGGGAAACUUGAGUGCAGAAGAGGACAGUGGAACUCCAUGUGUAGCGGUGAAAUGCGUAGAUAUAUGGAAGAACACCAGUGGCGAAGGCGGCUGUCUGGUCUGUAACUGACGCUGAGGCUCGAAAGUAUGGGUAGCAAACAGGAUUAGAUACCCUGGUAGUCCAUACCGUAAACGAUGAAUGCUAAGUGUUGGAGGGUUUCCGCCCUUCAGUGCUGCAGCUAACGCAUUAAGCAUUCCGCCUGGGGAGUACGGCCGCAAGGCUGAAACUCAAAGGAAUUGACGGGGGCCCGCACAAGCGGUGGAGCAUGUGGUUUAAUUCGAAGCUACGCGAAGAACCUUACCAGGUCUUGACAUACUAUGCAAAUCUAAGAGAUUAGACGUUCCCUUCGGGGACAUGGAUACAGGUGGUGCAUGGUUGUCGUCAGCUCGUGUCGUGAGAUGUUGGGUUAAGUCCCGCAACGAGCGCAACCCUUAUUAUCAGUUGCCAGCAUUAAGUUGGGCACUCUGGUGAGACUGCCGGUGACAAACCGGAGGAAGGUGGGGAUGACGUCAAAUCAUCAUGCCCCUUAUGACCUGGGCUACACACGUGCUACAAUGGAUGGUACAACGAGUUGCGAACUCGCGAGAGUAAGCUAAUCUCUUAAAGCCAUUCUCAGUUCGGAUUGUAGGCUGCAACUCGCCUACAUGAAGUCGGAAUCGCUAGUAAUCGCGGAUCAGCAUGCCGCGGUGAAUACGUUCCCGGGCCUUGUACACACCGCCCGUCACACCAUGAGAGUUUGUAACACCCAAAGUCGGUGGGGU
rnacentral:rRNA from 2 species